CCCUCUCUCUCUCUGCCCCUCCCCUGCUCACACAGUCUCAAAAUAAAUAAAUAAACUUAAGAAAAAAAGAUUUACACAUUGAAAAAUUGUCUGGAGUAUUUCUCAACAUAUUUAGAUAUAGCAAAUCAUAAAGAAAUAAUAAAAUACAUGGCUCCUCUAUUUUAUUUCUCAAGUAAAUUCACAGGCACAACAUGGGCACACUUUUUCUUUCUUUGAUAUAAUAAAAUCCUCAUCAUUUUAGAUCAUUUGAGUGUAAAUUUAUUAAGAAGUUUGCUAUGAAAAUGACUUUGCAAAAUCUUAAUUAUAAAAUACAUGGACAUACAUAUUUUUAAGAAGUGUUCUGUUCAAAUCAGUGCAAUCCAGCAUCUAGUAAUGAGCAAACUUAUUUGCUCAUUUAACAAGUGUUUACUGAGGGUUUAUGAACUGUCGUAUGAGCUGGGGACAGAACAGGGAACAGUUAAGACAAAAAUUCUUGCUUUAAUUCUAGUGGGGGCAAAAAAUGAACCAAAUACAGUAGAGAAAACAGAAAUGAAUAAAACACUGUUGUCCUAAAAGAGAGAGAGCACAGUGUGUACCUAAAUAGUAUUAAUGCAAAGAAAAGGAAGUGGUUAAUUUAGACUGAUUAGAUAAAAUACAGUAGUUGUAAAGGUAUAUAGAACUUAGGUUGAUUCAAACUAAAAUAUAGUUAGCUUUACCUUAAAGACUAAAGAAGAAAACAAAAACAAAACUCGAAGAGUACUGAAGCUGGCCCAAACUCAGUAUUUACAAAGAUGGGAAUGGUGAGCAGUGCUCUGAAUGCCCAACAGAAGACUUUAGUGAUUGCUGAAGCUGGAAGGACUGUGAACUGGAACCCAAAGGAGAAGGUGGGUGAAGAGUGCUGAAUGGCUAAGAGCGCUGGUGUGGAUUACUCCAAGCAAGGAGAGCAAUUCAGGGGCUCUGUGCAGGGUCUAAAGCAAUCCUGUUUGUGCAUUAGGCAUGGACGUUUGUGGGAAGUCUGGAUUAUGAAUUGGAGAAGUAAAAACUGCAGCCUCUUUAGGAAGUCCAUGGGGUUCUGAUGACUAAGCAAUGACAGAGACAACUGAAAGGAGGGGUAAAUUCAAGAGAAAUCUUGGCACCACAUGAGAUCACGUGACUUUUAGUUCCUGUUCAGCCCUGAUGCUCAGUGAGUGGAUGUGAGGAAAUGGAAGGGAGACUGUCAAAGACAAGGUUCCCUAGGGCAUAUGAUUUGGUUUUGAGCCAUUCUUCUAAGAGGAUCAAGAUCAACAACCCCAGAACCACAACAGG